UACGUAGGGUGCAAGCGUUGUCCGGAAUUAUUGGGCGUAAAGAGCGUGUAGGCUGUUCGGUAAGUCUGCCGUGAAAACCUGAGGCUCAACCUCGGGCGUGCGGUGGAUACUGCCGGGCUAGAGGACGGUAGAGGCGUGUGGAAUUCCGGGUGUAGUGGUGAAAUGCGUAGAGAUCCGGAGGAACACCAGUGGCGAAGGCGACACGCUGGGCCAUACCUGACGCUAAAGCGCGACAGCAUGGGGAGCAAACGGG
rnacentral:rRNA from 1 species